ACGCACGCUGGCGGCGUGCCUAAUACAUGCAAGUAGCACGCUGAAGGCGGAGCUUGCUUCUCUGGAUGAGUUGCGAACGGGUGAGUAACGCGUAGGUAACCUGCCUGGUAGCGGGGGAUAACUAUUGGAAACGAUAGCUAAUACCGCAUAAUAGUAGAUGUUGCAUGACAUUUGCUUAAAAGGUGCAAUUGCAUCACUACCAGAUGGACCUGCGUUGUAUUAGCUAGUUGGUGGGGUAACGGCUCACCAAGGCGACGAUACAUAGCCGACCUGAGAGGGUGAUCGGCCACACUGGGACUGAGACACGGCCCAGACUCCUACGGGAGGCAGCAGUAGGGAAUCUUCGGCAAUGGACGGAAGUCUGACCGAGCAACGCCGCGUGAGUGAAGAAGGUUUUCGGAUCGUAAAGCUCUGUUGUAAGAGAAGAACGAGUGUGAGAGUGGAAAGUUCACACUGUGACGGUAGCUUACCAGAAAGAGACGGCUAACUACGUG
rnacentral:rRNA from 1 species